ACAGCGUCUGGUGGGCAGUUUGACUGGGGCGGUCGCCUCCUAAACGGUAACGGAGGCGCCCAAAGGUUCCCUCACGCUGGUUGGCAAUCAGCGGGCGAGUGCAAGGGCACAAGGGAGCUUGACUGUGAGACUGACAAGUCGAGCAGGGACGAAAGUCGGGCCUAGUGACCCAACGGUUGCAUGUGGAAGCGCCGUUGAUCAACGGAUAAAAGGUACCCCGGGGAUAACAGGCUUAUCUUGCCCAAGAGUCCAUAUCGACGGCAAGGUUUGGCACCUCGAUGUCGGCUCGUCGCAUCCUGGGGCGGUAGCACGUCCCAAGGGUUGGGCUGUUCGCCCAUUAAAGCGGCACGCGAGCUGGGUUUAGAACGUCGUGAGACAGUUCGGUCCCUAUCCGCCGUGGGCGCAGGAAACUUGAGAGAAGCUGUCCCUAGUACGAGAGGACCGGGACGGACGAACCUCUCGUGUGCCAGUUGUUCUGCCAAGAGCACGGCUGGUUAGCGACGUUCGGAAGGGAUAAGCGCUGAAAGCAUCUAAGUGCGAAGCCCAUCUCGAGAUUAGGUUUCCCACCGGGUUAACCGGGUAAGGCCCCUGGCAGACGACCAGGUGAUAGGCCGGAAGUGUACGCGCAGCAAUGCGUUCAGCUGACCGGUACUAAUAGGCCGAGGGCUUGGCUU
rnacentral:rRNA from 1 species